UACGUAGGGUGCGAGCGUUAAUCGGAAUUACUGGGCGUAAAGCGUGCGCAGGCGGUUUUGUAAGACAGGCGUGAAAUCCCCGAGCUCAACUUGGGAAUGGCGCUUGUGACUGCAAGGCUAGAGUAUGUCAGAGGGGGGUAGAAUUCCACGUGUAGCAGUGAAAUGCGUAGAGAUGUGGAGGAAUACCGAUGGCGAAGGCAGCCCCCUGGGACGUCACUGACGCUGAGACGCGAAAGCGUGGGGAGCGAACAGG
rnacentral:rRNA from 1 species